CCCAAACCUUGAAAUCCAGCAAAUUUUUUCUUUAAAUUGGUUUCAAUGGUUACUCAAUUCUUCAGUUCAUUCUCAUCUAUCACCCAAUCUUUCUCCUUCCAUGUUUAUGUUAUUCUACGGUGAUCAUACGAAUUUUUCUGCUCUCCAUCGAUGUAGGCUGAAGUGCAAAUCAAAAUAGGUGCAAUUGGAAGUUAGAGUUGCAAGUCAAUCUCGAUCAGAAAAGAAAGAACAAGAAGGAAUAAAGCAAAUUCCAGAUUUCCAGGUGCAAUUAGAAGUUGGAUUUGCCAGUCAAUCCCGAUCGGAAAAGAAAAAACAAGGAAAAAAGAUGAUUCUAGAUUUGCAGGUAUUUUUGUUCUAUGCUAAAGUGUUUAUCAUUCAAAGUUUAGUGUUUUGGC